CUGCUAAUUCCUGCUGCUUCCCAAGCUGCUAAAAAAGGACUGUCGCAGCUUUUGCCAGCUGGGAAUUGGACUUAUCAACCCAGUGAAGUACAAGAAGUUGACUGUGCUCCUGUAGACCAUGGGAGAUGAGAUGGCACCUUCCCAGAGGCACACAUUCGCCACCCCUCUCCAUUCGGUUCAGUCGUUGGGUUUCUUUGCUGCUGGCACUGCAGAGCCGUGCAGAGGAGGUGCACAGGAGCUGACACGUGGCUUUCAGCUGCUCUUUUCCUCCUUGAGUCUGGAAAGCAAUGGGCUUCCUCUUGCUUUUAAAGCAGCGUGAUGGAGGCGAUGGCAUCACACACACACGUACAGGCAGAAUUCCG
rnacentral:lncRNA from 1 species